rnacentral:rRNA from 1 species
CCUACGGGAGGCAGCAGUGAGGAAUAUUGGUCAAUGGACGAGAGUCUGAACCAGCCAAGUCGCGUGAAGGAUGAAUGCCCUAUGGAUUGUAAACUUCUUUUAUCUGGGAAUAAAAUGUUCCACGUGUGGGAUUUUGUAUGUACCAGAUGAAUAAGGAUCGGCUAACUCCGUGCCAACAGCCGCGGUACUACGGAGGAUCCGAGCGUUAUCCGGAUUUAUUGGGGUUAAAGGGAGCGUAGGGGGAUUGUUAAGUCAGCUGUUAAAGUUUGGGGCUGAACCGUAAAAUAGCAGUUGAUACUGGCAGUGUUGAGUAGAGUAGAGGUGUGCGGAAUUCGUGGUGUAGCGGUGAAAUGCUUAGAGAUCGCGAAGAACGCCGAGUGCGAAGGCAGCUUACCGGA